GUGAGGAAUAUUGGUCAAUGGGCGAGAGCCUGAACCAGCCAAGUCGCGUGAAGGAAGACGGUUCUAUGAAUUGUAAACUUCUUUUGUGCAGGAAUAAAGUGGAUUACGUGUAACCUUUUGUAUGUACUGUACGAAUAAGGAUCGGCUAACUCCGUGCCAGCAGCCGCGGUAAUACGGAGGAUCCGAGCGUUAUCCGGAUUUAUUGGGUUUAAAGGGUGCGCAGGCGGGUUGAUAAGUCAGCGGUGAAAGUUUGCAGCUUAACUGUAAAAUUGCCGUUGAAACUGUCGAUCUUGAGUGCAAAUGAGGUAAGCGGAAUGUGUUGUGUAGCGGUGAAAUGCUUAGAUAUAACACAGAACACCGAUUGCGAAGGCAGCUUACUGGGAUGCAACUGACGCUCAUGCACGAAAGCGUGGGGAUCAAACAGGAUUAGAUACCCCUGUAGUCC
rnacentral:rRNA from 1 species